CUAAUACAUGCAAGUCGAGCGCAGGAAGCAGACUGAUCUCCUUCGGGAGUGAUGUUUGUGGAAUGAGCGGCGGACGGGUGAGUAACACGUGGGCAACCUGCCUGUAAGACCGGGAUAACUCGCGGAAACGUGAGCUAAUACCGGAUAAAGCUCCAUGCCACAUGGCAUGGGGAUGAAAGACGGCUUAGCUGUCGCUUGCAGAUGGGCCCGCGGCGCAUUAGCUAGUUGGUGGGGUGAUGGCCUACCAAGGCGACGAUGCGUAGCCGACCUGAGAGGGUGACCGGCCACACUGGGACUGAGACACGGCCCAGACUCCUACGGGAGGCAGCAGUGGGGAAUCUUCCGCAAUGGGCGAAAGUCUGACGGAGCAAUGCCGCGUGAGUGAUGAAGGCCUUAGGGUCGUAAAACUCUGUUGUUAGGGAAGAAUAGGUAUCGGAGUAAUAUGCCGGUACUUUGACGGUACCUUACCAGAAAGCCCCGGCUAACUACGUGCCAGCAGCCGCGGUAAUACGUAGGGGGCGAGCGUUGUCCGGAAUUAUUGGGCGUAAAGGGCGCGCAGGCGGUUUCUUAAGUCUGAUGUGAAAUCUCGUGGCUUAACCACGAGCGGUCGUUGGAAACUGGGAAACUUGAGUACAGAAGAGGAGAGUGGAAUUCCACGUGUAGCGGUGAAAUGCGUAGAGAUGUGGAGGAACACCAGUGGCGAAGGCGG
rnacentral:rRNA from 1 species